rnacentral:rRNA from 1 species
UACGUAGGGUGCAAGCGUUGUCCGGAAUUAUUGGGCGUAAAGAGCUCGUAGGCGGUCUGUCGCGUCGAAUGUGAAAGCCCGGGGCUUAACCCCGGGUCUGCAGUGGAUACGGGCAGGCUAGAGGUAGGUAGGGGAGAAUGGAAUUCCCGGUGUAGCGGUGAAAUGCGCAGAUAUCGGGAGGAACACCGGUGGCGAAGGCGGUUCUCUGGGCCUUACCUGACGCUGAGGAGCGAAAGCGUGGGGAGCGAACAGG